GGAGAAUAGAGAGGGAGCUUUUCUCCAAACUAUUAUUUUUUAAUAAUUUCAUCUAUAUAACAAUAAAAUCUAAAUAGUCUUUCUCUAGUUUUUUCAUAGAGACUCCACAACUCCCUCUCCUUUUCAAGCAUCCCUUAGCCCUAGCCUCAUUGCUAUUUUUUUUUUAGCCGAGAAGCCUUCUCUCCCUGUGCCCUUCUCUGUUCUUCCCCUCGCCCCUAUUCUCUCCCCCCCUUCCUCCUCUUUCUUUCUUUUGUGUUGUCUUGCCAAACCUCGUGUCCAUGGUAAUAGUAGUUUCGCCAUCAUAAAUAUUUGGUGGUUUGAGGCAACAUGUUCAUGUUGAAAAUAUUUUUUUUCUAUCACACAUAUUACCAUCUCAUCUCUCUUUAGCUCCAUGACUUGUGGCAAUGGCUUGAUGAUUGGAGAUUUCUCUUGGUCACCAUUACUUGUGUAAUGGCUAGAUAAUGACCUACUAAUACAACCUAUUAGAUC
rnacentral:lncRNA from 1 species